rnacentral:rRNA from 1 species
UACGUAGGGGGCAAGCGUUGCCCGGAUUUAUUGGGCGUAAAGCGCGCGUAGGCGGUUACUUAAGUCGGAUGUGAAAGCCCUCGGCUUAACUGAGGAAGUGCACCCGAAACUGAGUAGCUAGAGUACGAAAGAGGGUCGCGGAAUUCCCGGUGUAGAGGUGAAAUUCGUAGAUAUCGGGAGGAACACCGGUGGCGAAGGCGGCGACCUGGGUCGAGACUGACGCUGAGGCGCGAAAGCGUGGGGAGCAAACAGG